UUGCGAGGGAGGGGGGAUUUGGGGGUCGAUAUGCUCGUGGUGUUUUGCGAGGGAGGGGGGAUUUGGGGGUCGAUAUUGUGGUGUUUUGCAAGGGAGGGGGGAUUUGGGGGUUGAUAUUCUUGUAGCGUUUUGCGAGGGAGGAGUUGGUCUUGGGUCGAUGUCCUUGUUGCCUCUUUUUUUUUGUUAGUGUCUUUGUGAGGGGGGGUGGUAUUUGGAGGCCGAUGUUCUUUUUGCAUUUCAUACAGGGGAGGGGGUUUUGGAGAUGAGUUUUUUGUUGUACUUUUGUUCAUUUUUUUGUGUGGAAUGAAUGGUAUUUGGGGGCUAAUGUUCUUGUUGUAUUUCAUGUGGGGAGGGGUUUGGGAUUGAUGAUUGUGCUGCCAUUCUUGGUCUCAUGGCUAUCUGGAGAUGAAGAAUCUCAGAGUUUUGAGUUUUGAUAUCUAUUGCUUAUUUUCAUUAUUAUUAUUCUUUCUCUUUUUACUUUUUUGUAUUUGCACAGUUUGUUGUCUGUUGCUCAUUGGCUGAUUGUUUGUCCUGGUGGGUCUUUCAUUGAUUCGAUUGUGUCUCCUGUGCUUUCUGUGAAUGCUCACAUGAAAAUGAGUCUCAGAAUUGUUUCUGACCCAUUCCCACCUACAAACUCAGUGAUGGCUUUAUGCCCAGAAGAUCUUGUUGCUGCACAGAACCUCUCAACUGAAGAAUGAACUUGCUUUUUGUUGACCCGGGGAGAACUACAGAGCAAGUGCAGACAUUUCUCACAGGUAUGCCAAAACAAAGUUCAGCGGAGACACAGAGUCAGCAGAUGUUGGGAUCUGGAGUGAAGAGCAGCCCGCUGGAUGAAGUGGUACAGCAGCAUCAGUGAAGGGAAAGAGAUGGGUGACAUUUUGGGUUGAGACCCCAUACCAGUCAACACAAAAUGCUGUCACCACAGGUGCUCGACCCACUAAGCUCUUCCAGCAGUUUGCUUUUUGCUUCGGUAGUGCAGAAACUCCUUUCAGCAGUGGUUUUAAGAUCAGAAUCUUCAAAUAAAAUCCUUAUUCAGUGUCACUGUCACAUUCCCCAGCAUGCUGCUUCACCUUUGGUACACGCCAGACAACUGCUGUGCCUCACAUUGCAUAGUUGUCAGUACUUGCAGCUUCAGGGUCUGAUCUUUAAAAGAUCACAACACACCACAGGUGGCGCCGUUGCAACUUGGCGAGGGUGUUAUUUCCUGAAUGGCUCUGCAGUGAAUGGAGAUUCACCAGAGAGACUGACAGAUCUCUGGAGGGUCCCACAGUGACACUCUAAGCCUACAGUGCUGGACUCCUAGGAGCAGAUUGGCAGGAAGAUCUUAGUGACAACUAAUGCUCUUAGAGUUGCACAGCAGUACCAAAGCAAGUCCCCAAAAUGUACACUUCUUCCUAAACGCCACAUUCUGUUUACACCUUGACCUCCAAGGCACCGACUCUCACUCACAACAAUGACACUGAGUCCGUCAUUUCCAAAUCUCCCCCUGCCCACCCCUUCCAGGUUUCACCCAACCACAGACCUUAGGAAGAAAAUCAGACCAGCAGUAGUAAGGGCACAAAAGACACAUUAAUUGAUAAAAUUAGUUAUGCUAUCACAACCUCACCUGGUCCCUUCAUAUCACUUCCCUGAACAAGAAGGCACAGCAUGGCUCCACUUCCUAAGAAGUUCGAGAAUCUCACCCCCCCCCCCCCCCCAUCUUAACUGCGUUUUACAGGACACCAUUGAGACCAUCCUGACAAGUUGCAUCUCCAUCUGGUAUGGGAGUAGUCGAGCAUCGGACCAGAAGUCCCUACAAAGGACAGUGAGAACAGCUGAGAGGAUCACUGGGGUCUCACCACCAUCCAUUGGGGAACAUUUAUCAGAGCACUGCAUACGGAGGGGAUCCCACCCAUCCAUCCAGCAUCCUCUUUGACUCUCUACCAUUAGGCAGGAGACUCCGAUGCAUAAAAACAAGAACGGUCAGGAUGAGAAACAGUUUCUUCCCCAAGGCCAUUAGGCUGCCAAACUCCUGGCGGCAUUGCAGUUGAAGUGUCACUGGUUAAUCUAUUCUGUAUCUUACAAUAUUUAAUAUUAAUGCACCUUAAUUGGUUAUUUAUGUGUGAUUCACCUGUAGAUUUUAUCCUUACCAUAUGUUAUGUGUACUACUGUGUUUUACACCCUGCUUCAGAGAAAUGUCUCAUUUCUAUUUACCUUAUAUAAUUAUAUAACUUAUAUACAUGUAUGUAGUUAAAACAGAAGAAACUUGACUUGACAUGACUUGAAUACAAUCAUAUUUAAAAUCUUACUUCAUAUUAAAGCCUGGAUUUACAGUCAGCAUUCACUGGUGAAAUGUAAGUUAAGUUUGCGACGACCUUUUUCCCAUCUCACCCCUGACAAUUCUUAGAGAAAGCUGGCCGGGCCCUCAGCCCUGAGACCUAGUGCAGCAACAGGGCCUUCUGUGU